UCUGACUUCAGCAGCUUAAUGAUAUGUUAAAUAACAUGCCAAAAUGGCACCUAGUAUUUCUAAUCAUGAAUGUCAUAAGUAGAAAAUUAAUCAAGAAAGCGUAAGCUUCAGGGUGGCACCUGCGCCUCGACGAAAUCACAGGGCGGAGCAUGCCUUCAAGGCAUUGAGUGUGGCUUUGUCUGUGGUUGCCCCGAACCCGUCUGACUGUUUUUCUAUUUUGGGAUUUAGCCUGGUUUGGUGGCCUCCCGGCGAAUUAUUGCGUUCAUUCGGAACUUCGACAAGGCAGCACUGCACUAUUGGACUACGGCAAGCUGACGUCGUCUGGUGGAGCUUCCUGCGGAAACUACUGCUGCUUACCUGGUGCCACAACGCUGGAUGAAUGCACAAAAAGCCCGCGACGAGCAUUUACAAAGAAUAAAAUAAACGUUAAUUUUUCCACA